GUAGGUGGCAAGCGUUGUCCGGAAUUAUUGGGCGUAAAGCGCGCGCAGGCGGUUCUUUAAGUCUGAUGUGAAAGCCCACGGCUCAACCGUGGAGGGUCAUUGGAAACUGGAGAACUUGAGUACAGAAGAGGAAAGCGGAAUUCCACGUGUAGCGGUGAAAUGCGUAGAGAUGUGGAGGAACACCAGUGGCGAAGGCGGCUUUCUGGUCUGUAACUGACGCUGAGGCGCGAAAGCGUGGGGAGCAAACAGGGAUUAGAUACCCUGGUAGUCCACGCCGUAAACGAUGAGUGCUAAGUGUUAGGGGGUUUCCCGCCCCUUAGUGCUGCAGCUAGCGCAUUAAGCACUCCGCCUGGGGAUACGGCCGCAAGGCUG
rnacentral:rRNA from 1 species